AAAAUACAAAACUUAAAAUUGAAAUACAAGGCGUUUUUCCUUUUCAUGAUCAAAAAGGGAUAUACGAUUUUUUUUAAAAUGCUUUGAUUUUCGUUUUAUAUUUAGAAUAACAAGAAAAUAAAAUCAGUAAGAGACAGAAACGACAAAAAGGUCCGUUUUUUCAUUUUCUGAGGCCGGAAGUGGUCAUCAGCAAGUGUGGAGCCAAACAGAGUACGGUGCAUAGACUGUAUAUACAUUUUUUUUCGUGAGUUUUCAUGGUCAAAAUGAGAGAUCAGGUGGCCAAUCUUAAAAUAAAUCAAUAUUGAUUUUUUUUAUAGAGCGUUAAAGUUUUGCGAAGCCAGGGGGCGGGGCUACUUGAUUGACAGUCUGAUCUGGAAUGGUUGACAGGUCCUAUGGAGGAGGCCGCAGAGACUCUGUUCUCCUCGUUUGGAUUAAUUCUCAUUUAAUAACUGUUGGUUUAUUUAUCGGUGGAGCAGCAGAACAUUUUCCACAGACAGUUUUUCUGCCCGUUGGCUUGUUUUAACCAGUUUUCUGCCUUCGGCUGUUUCUACCAGCAGACACUGAAAGGACUCUGAGAGAUCGAGUGAAAGUAGCAGUUCCUCCUUAAGGUCAGAGAUUGCAGCAUCUGAGGGCUUCUUCAAAAGAAGACGUAGUUGAUGAAGGCAUUCUGGAGCAGGGCCAGAAAGACCACGACCAAGCAGCCUUGAGAUCUUAGACAGCAUCUCCCUCAGGGCCCUCUCUAUCUCCCCACACAUCCACCAACCACUGGAACACAUCUCCAAAGUUCUGCUAGGCCAGCUCAGCUUCCCCUCAGAAGAAGUGCUGCCACCUGCCAGAUGAAGGAGCCUUUUGAGAGGCAGCUGGCAUCGUGAUUGGACUGUACUUUGGUCUGUUCCAAUCCAGCUUCAGCUCCAGAGACGGCAGGCGGGACGAGUCAACGGAGGCCGGGUGGACGAAGGCAUGCAGCUGAGUACAAUCCAGAAAACAACAGAGGAGGAGUGCAGCAGCCCAGGACCAGAACAAACAGAGUAGCAUCGUAUGUCUCUUAGAAAACAUCAUAGUAUAGCCUUUGGUAUGAAAAAACGCCAUCAUAUACAUCGUAUAUUGUACAAAUAACAAGUCAAAGGAAAGAGACAUACAUUGUAUAAUUGUAGUAAUUGUGGGCUGACUGAUUUACUGAUUAUCAGUAUUUUAUUUUUUACUGAUUUACGGUAAUAAAUACAUUUAAAAAUGGC